rnacentral:rRNA from 1 species
AUUGAACGCUGGCGGCAUGCCUUACACAUGCAAGUCGAACGGAAGUAAGUGCUUCGGUAUUUACUUUAGUGGCGAACGGGUGAGUAACGCGUGAGGAACCUGCCUUUCAGUGGGGGACAACAGUUGGAAACGACUGCUAAUACCGCAUGACGCUUCUUAGGGGCAUCCCUGAGAAGUCAAAGCUUUAUGUGCUGAAAGAUGGCCUCGCGUCUGAUUAGCUAGUUGGUGGGGUAACGGCCCACCAAGGCGACGAUCAGUAGCCGGUCUGAGAGGAUGAACGGCCACAUUGGGACUGAGAUACGGCCCAG